rnacentral:rRNA from 1 species
GGAACAACCCGCCAAAAGACGGGCUAAACCCGCGUACAUGCCACCGGGGCAUCCCGGAGGCAGGAAAGGCUUCGGCCGGACAGGGAUGGGCAUGCGGCGCAUUAGGCAGUAGGCGGGGUAACGGCCCACCUAACCGACGAUGCGUAGGGGUUCUGAGAGGAAGGUCCCCCACACUGGUACUGAGACACGGACCAGACUCCUACGGGAGGCAGCAGUGAGGAAUAUUGGUCAAUGGUCGGGAGACUGAACCAGCCAAGCCGCGUGAGGGAGGAAGGUACAGAGUAUCGUAAACCUCUUUUGUCAGGGAACAAAGACUGGGACGCGUCCCCGGAUGAGUGUACCUGAAGAAAAAGCAUCGGCUAACUCCGUGCCAGCAGCCGCGGUAAUACGGAGGAUGCGAGCGUUAUCCGGAUUUAUUGGGUUUAAAGGGUGCGCAGGCGGUCUGUUAAGUCAGCGGUCAAAGCCCGGGGCUCAACCCCGGCCCGCCGUUGAAACUGGCAGUCUCGAGUUGGAGAGAAGUAUGCGGAAUGCGCGGUGUAGCGGUGAAAUGCAUAGAUAUCGCGCAGAACUCCGAUUGCGAAGGCAGCAUGCCGGCUCCACACUGACGCUGAGGCACGAAAGCGUGGGUAUCGAACAGGAUUAGAUACCCUGGUAGUCCACGCAGUAAAC